rnacentral:tRNA from 1 species
GUAGACGUUAGCUCAGUGGUUAGAGCACAGGCCGAUGGCUCUCGGGUCCGCGAGUUCGAGUCCCGUCGUCUACU